AGGAUAAUAGUUUAUAAAAACAUUUAAAUUGCAAUUAAAAAAUACUUUUUUGGUUUAUCUUU
rnacentral:tRNA from 1 species